rnacentral:misc_RNA from 1 species
GACAGAGGGUGCAAACGUUGUUCGGAAUUACUGGGCGUAAAGCGUGUGUAGGCGGUCGAGUAAGUCGGAUGUGAAAGCCCAGGGCUCAACCCUGGAAGUGCAUUCGAUACUGCCCGGCUAGAGUACUGGAGAGGUUGGUGGAAUUCUCGGUGUAGAGGUGAAAUUCGUAGAUAUCGAGAGGAACACCGGUGGCGAAGGCGGCCAACUGGACAGAUACUGACGCUGAGACACGAAAGCGUGGGGAGCAAACAGG